rnacentral:lncRNA from 1 species
CUCAGAGAAAAUCUCUGCUGCUGUCACAGAAGACAUUUCAGAAGGCACAUGGCUCUGGAACCAGAACGUUGGCUGUAUCCAGGAGGUUUCACUAAGACAUGUCAUGUUGCUCUAACUGGACUCCAUACAGGCAAGUACUUUAAUGCCCAUUUAAAAAAUUAUUUGCCUCAAUGCAAGUUAUGGACUGGGAUAAAUUUUGUUGUUUGUUUCUGCAGGAACCCUGAGGUGCAUGUUAUUGUAGGGCAUAUUGGUUGCUUGGGCCUUUCCUCAAGCCGUGUACCUUUGUUCAUGUGAUUCCUUGCACUGCUGUCUCCAGGUGUGCAGAAGUAAUUGAUCAGAGUAAGCGGGUUUACCACCAAAAGUCUUAUUGGAACUUUUGGCAGAGAUGUCUUCAUUUCACUGGACUUGGGGUUUUGAGGCUAUUAUCUUUGAGUUCUGGGAGCCAUGAUACUGGGAAAAUGUGUUUGAAGAUUAAGCCACUUCAGAGGAG